rnacentral:lncRNA from 1 species
CUGGGCUCAAGUGAUCCUCCCACCUUGGCCUCCUAAAAUGCUGGGAUUAUAGGCAUGAGCCACCACUCCCAGCCCCACUUUUUUCAGACUGGAAAACGCACACUCACAUGUGCAUCUUUAAAUGAUCACUUGGGCUGUGGUAUGGAGAAUGGCGACCAGUAAGGAGGCAGGAGCUGUUGUCCGAGCAAGGGAUGAUAUUGGCAUCUUGGAUUGGCAUGGUGGCAGUAGUGGUAGUGCAGAGUGACUUGGGUAGAUUUUGGAGCCAUUUAGAAGGUAACAUCCACAGGAACUGGUAAAUAAAUACGUGGGAGAAGUUUGGUGAAGGGGAUGUCAAAGAUUACACCCAAUUUAUUUUGCUUGGGCAAGUUGGUGGAUGGUGAGCCCCUCACUGAGUGAGAAGCCUGGAGAAGCAGGUUUGGAGGGUGGUAGCAUGCAGGUGGUAUGUGUGUGGAGGAGCCUCGCCAUCGGGCUUCCUGUCUCUCUUCAUUUAAGCACGACUCUGCAGAAGGAACAAAGCACCCUCCCCACUGGGCUCCUGGUUGCAGAGCUCCAAGUCCUCACACAGACAGAGGUCAGGGACUGUGCUAGACUCCUCUCUGCAGCCCCAGCGUGCACAGCUCC